GUCUCAUUUUCUCUUUCAUCAUGCAAUCUGAAACUUCAUCCAUACAAGCGCUUAUCAUCCAAACUCAAAAUUUUCAUUUCUCUGACCCCUUAAUGGAACUCUCUACUGAGGACUCCAUUCCAGAAGAUGGCUCACAAGCUCUAGCUGGAAAGCUUAUGUCUACUAAGAAUCUCAACUUGCAUAUUAUCAAGGAAGCAAUUUCAGCAUCUUGGCGCUUGCGUCAUGAUUUUAAUAUUACUAGAAUGGAAAAGAUAUCUUUUUAUUCCACAUAGAUAACAAGAUUAAAGUGAAAAUAGAUCUUUGGAUGCAAGACCGUGGUGUGUUUAGAAUCAGCUGAUCAAUAUGUAGGUAUGGCAAGCAGAUCUUGUAUUAAAAGAUGUUGGUUCUUCAGUUUCUCCUUUCUGGGUCUAAGUAAGAAAUUUACCAUCUAACCAAUGUGAUAGCAAAAAUGCUCACCAAAUAGGGAAACUUUUUAAGGGUUUCAUUAUCUAUGGAUACAAGAGGCAUCCACGGUAUAGCUUAUUCACAGUUUCUUAGGCUACAAGUUCACAUUGUUCUGGAUAAACCUUUGCCUAAAGGUUUUCGUAAUAAGGUCCAGGGUAAAAAGGAGUGAUGGUAUCCGAUCAAAUACAAAAAACUCCUUGAUGUUUAUUGUUAUUAUGGCAUUAUAGGGCGAAUUAGUAGGUUAUGCAAGGUUAGAGAAGCUGAUGAAGAAUGUGCUGCCCAAUUGGGGGAAAACGUUGUCAUUGGGAUUCCUAUAUGCUUUCUGAUGCUGAUCUUGAGUAUAGGAGGAUCGUGUUGGGCAUGGUACUCAGGCGAGAGGAUCUGUGGAUGGGAGCGAGGCCCCAACAGACGCCCAGUCCUCUUGUCUCUACCCUUCUUAAUGUUUUGAACAACAGAUCUUGCUGGGGAGGAGCUAGCGACAUGCUUAGCGGGAUAUGAGGAGCCCUAGGAUCUCACCAUCCGGUCCUAAAGGAAGAACGAUGCCUCCUUCAUUUCUCAGCUAUUAGGGACUGUGUCAUUUGACAAUGACACCAUAACUCAGGUACUUCUUAUGACUUACUUUAUUGAAUUUUCCUUUUGUCUCAUCUAUUCCGCUUAUUUGUGCAACUGCUUUGUCUCAUCCAUCUCACCCCUACUGCUUCUGAGUCGACAUAGGGAUGGUCUACCCGACACUCUAGGCCCUCUCAUAUCUUAGGUUCCUCUGUUGGUGCUACCUCUAAAGCACCUCCUACAGCCGUAUCAGACGUGAUUCCAAGGACCAUCUCAUUCCUUCCUGAUCUGAUGGUUCGUACUAGAGUCCUCAUGAUGCAAUAGAGCAUCGACUCAGCAUAGAGCACUACCUUCCUCCGGAGUUCAUUACGAGUACUUGCAUAUACGUUCAAAGGGAUCAAUUCGAGCAUGUUCAUUGAUUAGUCGGUGCUGUAAGAAGACAAUUCUUCGUCCUUGGCAAGGACUAGCAGGUUUUCUCAAAGAGACCACGAGAGCUUGUUAGGGCAGGUGGACGACCAGCAGUGUUAGAUUGAUGCUCAAUAGUGCAAGAUUGACACUCUGACGCUUCAACUGUCUAACUUCUAGACUCAAGGAAUGGACACCGAUUGAGACGAUGUGAU